rnacentral:rRNA from 1 species
AGAGCGAACGCUGGCGGCGUGCUUAACACAUGCAAGUCGAACGCGCAGCAUUCUGUAGCAAUACAGGGUGUGGGCGCGUGGCGAACGGGUGCGUAACACGUGGAUAACCUUCCUUCAGGUGGGAAUAACCCAGUGAAAAUUGGGCUAAUACCGCAUAACAUGACGAUGCCACAUGGUGUUGUCUUCAAAGGCGCAAGUCGCCAGAAGAGGGAUCCGCGGCCGAUUAGCUUGUUGGCGAGGUAAUGGCUCACCAAGGCAAUGAUCGGUAGCCGGACUGAGAGGUUGGCCGGCCACACUGGAACUGAGACACGGUCCAGACUCCUACGGGAGGCAGCAGUGGGGAAUCUUGCACAAUGGACGAAAGUCUGAUGCAGCAACGCCGCGUGGGGGAUGAAGCUUUCGGAGUGUAAACCCCUUUCGACCCGGAAGAAUGCCCGCAAGGGUUUGACGGUACGGGUAUAAGAAGCCCGGCUAACUACGCGCCAGCAGCCGCGGUUAAC